rnacentral:tRNA from 1 species
GGUCCCAUAGUUUAACGGAUAGAACAGGUUUUUCCUAAAAAUCAGAUAGAGGUUCGAUUCCUCUUGGGACCG